rnacentral:lncRNA from 1 species
GCUUUCUCUCUAUACUCUCAUCUAGAUGUGGUUUAUUUGAGGACUGGUUAUCCACAGUGCAAGCUGAACCUUCAUAUGUUUGUAUUUCCGGCUGAAUUUUACUUAUUUUUAUAAGGUCAUCUGUUACAUGUUUCUGUGAAAUCUCCAAGUCCUCUGUAGUUGUAGUACCAGGAGUCACAGGUGCAUCAAGUUCCAAGGGUUCCUGCAAAAUGAUUACCAGUUUAUUAGUUGUGGGAAUGGAAAUAUGGGAACAAAGGUUAACUGGGUUACAAAAGUGAAUAAGGUGCAUGAGAAGAUUUUUAAUUCUAUCAAACCUUUUCAGUUGGAAUUUCUCUCUCUAUGUUUUCAUCUACUUCUUUUUUCUGCACACUUUGAAUAUCAGAGCAUUCUGCAUUGUUCACGGCGUCAACAGUUAUUGCUUCUGGUGUAUAAUCAAAGUCCUUCUCACGCUUUUGAACAUCUAUUACAGCAACUUCAGGUGUAAUUUUCUCAAUGGUAGUAGUAGUUUCUGGGUUAUUUUUCUCUAGAAGCAUCAUGGGGGAAGCUUCCUGAACAUUUCCUGGUAAACUUUCAGAAACUUUGCUACCCUCAGGGACUAUUUCAGCAACAUCGGAUGCAAUUUCAAAAACUUCAGUUGGCUUUUCUUCAGACUUGUGUAUAUCAUCAUAGCCUCUGCUGAUGCUCUCCUCAGAUCUAACUUCUAUACCUUGCUCUGUAGGACUUGAUAUCGAAUCAGAAGUGGUUUUCGUGAGGUCAUCUGCUUGUGAUUCGCUUAGUGUUUCUUUCUCCUUGUUUGCAUCUUCUUCCAAUGUCUUUUCUUCUGUCACCAAAAUCUUUGGAAACUCUUCCUCUAUGAAUUCUAGAUUCCGAUCCUUGUUGCUUAUGUUGCUGUGGUCAACCUGUGUCUUAUCUGUUUCUAGUACUAGUUCUUUUGUUUGGUCUUCAACAGUUGAAGAUGCAAGUUCUUCAAGUGGUACAAUGGACACAAGUUUCUGUUACAUGAAAAAAACCACAAAAAUCUACAUGAUCAGUAGGUGAAGGUUAAAUUUCCAUUUGCAUGUAAUAAUCUAAAUGCCAUUUAUAAUGAUAAAACUACAUGAAAUCAGGCUAUGUUAACAAUGUCUUAUUAGCAUAGGAUCAGUAUAGGGAGGCUUUAACCAUGGGAUAAUCACAGUAAUAUUUUGUCAAGGGCUCAUGGCCUAGUUUCUUUCAAGCUGGUUGUCAUCCAGUGGUCUCAAAUCGAAUUAAUAGAAGACAAAGUUAGGGUUAUUUUUUUAUCAUCAGGGCUUAAUCUUUUUACCUUCUCACUUAAUGACCCAUCCACAGGUGUUUGACACGUGUCAUUUGUUACUUCUGGAUGUUCUUCCUCCAUCUCCAUCUUGAGAGUUGUUUCAGGAGUUUGUAUUUCAGAUAUAAGUUCAUCAUCCUUUUCUUUCUUCUCAAACUCAAGAUCAGGGGCUUCUGCAGACUGUAUAUUUUCUAGUUCUGUUGGGCUUUCUGCUUUCACUUCUUUGACUUCAUUGUUUCCAGCUGGUAUCGGCUUUGAAUAUUCUAUCUGUUAAAAGAUAUUUAUCAUUUUAAUAUCUGAAUAAAUGAAAUCAAUCUGAUAUUUUAGUAUCCUUCUUGCUGUCUUUACUGACCUCAUCAUCUAGGUCCUUUUGAUUUGAUGUCGAUGUCUUAUCGAGUUCUGGAGGACAUAUAUCUUCCUCAGAAACAUGUUCAUUGACUUCAUUUUUUUCCUCUUCUUUUUCAGUCUCC